rnacentral:snRNA from 1 species
GGCUGCAAUAUCUGUUACUCUGUCACCCUGUUGAUCACCUGGGUUGAUUCGGCUGAUAUGGCUGGCUAGGCAGGUGUUUGUUUCCCUCCUUGGUGGCUCCAUGUGUGUCCUUCCUGGAGCUGCACACUGGGUUUUGGUUGAAGAGUAUUCAGGAAGACCUUCCCUGAAUAGAGGAUUGCUCGAUACUCCCCUUCUAGAACCUCCAAAUGAAAAAAGCAGGCUGAGCAAACCACAAGGAGCAAGCCAGUAAGCAGCACCCCUCCAUGGCCUCUGCAU